rnacentral:rRNA from 1 species
UACGGGGGGGGCAAGCGUUGUUCGGAAUUACUGGGCGUAAAGGGCUCGUAGGCGGCCAACUAAGUCGGAUGUGAAAUCCCCAGGCUCAACCUGGGAACUGCAUCCGAUACUGGAUGGCUUGAAUUCGGGAGAGGGAUGCAGAAUUCCAGGUGUAGCGGUGAAAUGCGUAGAUAUCUGGAGGAAUACCGGUGGCGAAGGCGGCAUCCUGGACCGACAUUGACGCUGAGGCACGAAAGCGUGGGGAGCAAACAGG